rnacentral:rRNA from 1 species
UGGGGAAUAUUGGACAAUGGGCGAAAGCCUGAUCCAGCCAUGCCGCGUGUGUGAAGAAGGUCUUCGGAUUGUAAAGCACUUUAAGUUGGGAGGAAGGGCAGUAAGCGAAUACCUUGCUGUUUUGACGUUACCGACAGAAUAAGCACCGGCUAACUCUGUGCCAGCAGCCGCGGUAAUACAGAGGGUGCAAGCGUUAAUCGGAAUUACUGGGCGUAAAGCGCGCGUAGGUGGUUCGUUAAGUUGAAUGUGAAAGCCCCGGGCUCAACCUGGGAACUGCAUCCAAAACUGGCGAGCUAGAGAAGGGCAGAGGGUGGUGGAAUUUCCUGUGUAGCGGUGAAAUGCGUAGAUAUAGGAAGGAACACCAGUGGCGAAGGCGACCACCUGGGCUCAUACUGACACUGAGGUGCGAAAGCGUGGGGAGCAAACAGG